rnacentral:piRNA from 1 species
CUGAAACUUUGUGGAGAUUCUGAAAUCUCUGC